GCCUAACAAACAUCUUGGAGGUGUGAAUGCUUUCUUGGGUCUGACAAGUAAUCAAUAAUUGAUGGUAUACUGGGAUUUUUCUCAUACUUCUAGCACUUCCUCAUUGACAAUAAAGCAAGUAGUAUCACAACAAAGGCUAUCCAGGUAUUUUUUUUCAACUAUAAUCCUUCCAGCUUUAGGGACUGCUCAAUUGGAUCUGCACAAUCUAAGAAAAUAAAUGUGCAUAGUGUCUGCGACACUUUCAUUCGAUCAUCACGAAGGUAGUUGUAGGAGUAAAAAAGUAUGUCAUACUGUUUUUUCAGUUCAAGCCAAAAGGCUAGGACAGGUAAUACUUGUUUUUACAGUACUUGUGCAAAAAGUAUGUCAUACUGUUUGCUCUAGAUGAUUUUGAUGAAUUUUACAACCUUAUUUUCAGUUGUUUACCCCAAGAAAUGGUCUGCUUUCAUGGGGUUUAUUGAAUCCAGGAAAGAACUAUGAGUAGUAGCGAACCAGACAUGAAAAGUUUCAGAGAACUACGAAAACUCCGGGUUUGGGGGAGAUUGUCAGCGAGCCACUGAUGAAAGUCCUUUUGCGAUGACAAUGCUAGAGAAGAUUUGAAAGAUCUUGGUUGGCGUGGGGAAACUUGUGUAUUCCUGGAUGGGGGCGCCGUCCGGUGGCAGUGGGGUGUGGCAGUUGCCGCAGCUGGGCACAACCGGGAGUCCACCUAUCCAGAACACCCAACUAUUUCAUCCGGUGAACUGCGAAGAGCUUCUGUAAUUAGCACAAAUCUGAAAGCAUAUAUGCAGCUCCCAGAUGUUGCAGGCUAGAGGAAGGGCAGGCACUCAUGCGAUACCAUGUAUCUGGUUGGACGCGCCGGGUGUGGGGACACUGCAGGACAUGUUUGAUUAUCAUGUCAGUGAAUUCUGGCGAGAAUGAACCAAGUGAGCUUUUGUAGCUGGUCUAUUCAAAAUGGAUGAACGGACCAGUUAGUGUACAUAUAAGUUUGCACUCUGUCUUCCUGCUCAUUCGUGCAAUGUGUUCAUGGGAGACUUAUUUUAGGAAAACAUAAAAUAAUUUUUCUUUCUGUGCGUACUACUCCAGCUUUCAAGUGCCAGGCUUCAAUAAAUCUGAAAUUUCUAUC